UGACUCGUCCUCCCCCUCCCCCCUCGGGUCAUUCUUAUCCCAAACUGAAACGAAAGCCUAAUCUACUCUCUCGCCCGAAGGAGCUUGCUGGAACUUGGUGGAAAAUCAAAGGAGCUCGCUAGACAUCUGCAUCUCUCGGAGAGAAAAACAUGGUUGGACCUCAUUGGAAUGCGGUGGAAAGUCGAAGGAGCUCGCCGAACAUCUGCAUCUCUGGGAGAAAGAGACACGACUUAUCUUGUGAUUUGGAUCGGUUGGACAACGAGGCAGUGUAGCUUAUGAGUGGUUGAGAAACUUCGGUCCCUGACAGCCAAAAAAGUUUGGUUAGCCGAAAAGUGUAUAUUUAAAGUGGCGUUGAUCAAAUGUUUUAAUUUUCUCUUUGUUGGUUUUCCUGCCAAGUCUUUUUUCUUUGUAUUUUGUUGAAGAAAAUCUAUCUCUGUUCCUUGGAUGUGGAAAAUAAUUCCAUUUAAUACUUUUCAUUGAUGAUGUUUGGUUACAGUUUAUGUUUGGAAAAAUCUCUCAUGUUUGCUCAUUUGGUAUUUUCCAUUGGAUUGCUAUUGAUGAUGUUUGGCUACAGUUGAAGUUUUCCAUUGGCAUGCUACCCGAGCCAUUAAUUUGAAAUUGGAUUUAGUUGUUUGUACCUUGUACAACACUCUUAUGAAAUUCCUUAUAUAUUAAUAUACUAUCUAUAUAUAUUGGCCUAAUAAAACUAAUUCCAUGUCACCUAAAAAUUCGCCUCUCUGACACAAAUCAAACACAUCCUAUUGAGUCGAUCCACUUUAUUGAAAUGAGGUUAUGAAAUUGAUGCCUUAUUUAUUUAAAACAUGUUAUAAACAAAUAAAAAUAUAUAAAAUACGUAUUAAAUAUAACAAUUAUGAAAUAUAUUAUUUGAUUACAAAUGAACAAAUGUUAAGAAAAAUAUUAGUAGAACAUAAAUAUAAAUAAAUAUUAAAUAUGAAGUUCAUAUUUUUUUUGUUAAUCUUUAA